rnacentral:rRNA from 1 species
CCUACGGGAGGCAGCAGUGGGGAAUCUUGCGCAAUGGGCGAAAGCCUGACGCAGCAACGCCGCGUGCGGGAAGAAGGCUUUCGGGCUGUAAACCGCUUUCAGCAGGAACGAAAAUGACGGUACCUGCAGAAGAAGGAGCGGCCAACUAUGUGCCAGCAGCCGCGGUGAUACAUAGGCUUCAAGCGUUGUCCGGAUUUAUUGGGCGUAAAGAGUUCGUAGGCGGUCAAGUAAGUCGGGUGUGAAAAUUCUGGGCUCAACCCAGAGACGCCACCCGAUACUGCUUAACUUGAGUUCGAUAGGGGAGUGGGGAAUUCCUAGUGUAGCGGUGAAAUGCGCAGAUAUUAGGAGGAACACCGGUGGCGAAGGCGCCACUCUGGAUCGAUACUGACGCUGAGGAACGAAAGCAUGGGUAGCAAACAGGAUUAGAUACCCUGGUAGUCCAUGCCGUAAACGGUGGGCACUAGGUGUGGGUUUCUAUUAACGAAAUCCGCGCCGUCGCUAACGCAUUAAGUGCCCCGCCUGGGGAGUACGGUCGCAAGACUAAAAACUCAAAAGGGAAAUUUGACCGGCNGAGAGUGCGACGACGACACGAGGAGAGG